GUGCUCACUUCAGUGCACAUAUGCUAAAAUUGGAAGGAUACGGAGAAAAUUAGCAUGGCCCCUGCACAAGGAUGACGUGCAAAGCGUGAAGCAUUCCAUAUUUAU